UAAUAAUAAUAAUAAUAAGCCCAACAAGGUCCGAGCCUAUAACGCCUGGGUCAUGCCCACUCUCUUGUACACCUUUGGCAUACUCAGAUGGACUCAGACCGAAAUUGACGCCCUGGAUAGAAGAGUCCGCACAAAUAUGACGCACAAUCGCGUGCAUCACCCGAAGUCGUCGGUCAUGAGACUGUACAUCCCGCGGAAGUGUGGUGGUCGAGGCAUGUUAAGCGCUAAGACCAUGCAUAACCGCGAGGUGUGCAGCCUCAGGGCCUACUUUGAAACGAGACGGGACAGCGCCUUGCAUGAUGACGUUAUAGUGUGUGACAAAGGACUGACCCCCCCUAUCCUUGGCCAAAGAGAAUUGGCAGAGACCGGUCGUACUGUGCACCUCUGACCGGGAGACCGUAUGGAUGGAGAAGGAGCUGCAUGGACGGUUCUACAAGGCGCUUCACGCACCUCACGUGGACAGUAAGGCCUCCGUGCAGUGGCUGCGAUUCGGUGACCUCUUUGGGGAAACCGAAGG
rnacentral:misc_RNA from 1 species